rnacentral:rRNA from 1 species
AACGGACGCUGGCGGCAGGCCUAACACAUGCAAGUCGAACGGGUCCUUCGGGACUAGUGGCGGACGGGUGAGUAACGCGUGGGAACGUGCCCUUUGGUUCGGAAUAGCCCCGGGAAACUGGGAGUAAUACCGGAUAAGCUCUUCGGAGGAAAGAUUUAUCGCCAAAGGAUCGGCCCGCGUUGGAUUAGGUAGUUGGUGGGGUAAUGGCCUACCAAGCCGACGAUCCAUAGCUGGUUUGAGAGGAUGAUCAGCCACACUGGGACUGAGACACGGCCCAGACUCCUACGGGAGGCAGCAGUGUGGAAUCUUAGACAAUGGGGGAAACCCUGAUCUAGCCAUGCCGCGUGAUCGAUGAAGGCCUUAGGGUUGUAAAGAUCUUUCAGCUGGGAAGAUAAUGACUGUACCAGCAGAAGAAGCCCCGGCUAACUCCGUGCCAGCAGCCGCAGUAACAC